UCGUGGAGUGGUUCGUCUGCUCGAUUGCGAUAACGAGCGAGACCUUAACCUGCUAAAUAGUUACGCUAUAUCUGUAUAGUGGCCAACUUCUUAGAGGGACUAUCGGUGCUUUAGUCGAUGGAAGUUUGAGGCAAUAACA
rnacentral:rRNA from 1 species